GCAUCGUGUAGUUGUAAAUUUAUAUACAAAAAACGAUAACGUUUUCCUCCCCUUAAUGUAGUCCAAUUUUCAUAAAUUUUUCUAAAUAUUCUAGAUAAAUGU